AGGGCGGGAGUAGCAUAUCAAGCGCAUAAUCUGGCAAACACUCUGAAAGGGGUGUGUGCAUUUUCAUGAUCGGAUUAUCGUUUAGACCUAAAUUGAAUUUCGUUACAAAUUGAAUUUCUCUCUUCCAUUUGGAUUGAUUGUUCUAUUGCGUUGUAUAAUGUAGGCUAUAGCCUUACGCGCUUGCGUCCAUUUCCAAUUUUAUUGCGCAAAACAUAUGCCGUAUUAAAGCAAGGCCUUCUCCAUCUAAAUAACGUGAUCAUCCAGGAGUUAUGAAUAUCUAUUUUGCAAUAUUUGCCUUCAUGGCACCUGUUGUUAUUGUUAUGAUAACGGUAGGGGUAUCAUGUGUAAUUCAUCGAAGGAGGCACAGUCGGAUUGAACGCUCACUUCAAUGAUGGACGCUCUGGUUCGAACAAGCUAGAAUUAUGUGACUGGCUGUGCACAUGCUCAGUUUAGUCCUCAACCCUCAUGUGAAGAAACACGGACCUGUGAUAGACAGCAGAUUUCAUUGACAAGAAUCUGAUUUGGAGGAUCACCAUCACCCUCAGACACCAUGGCACAGCCCACACCCCCAGGAUCACCAUCACCCUCAGACACCAUGGCACAGCCCACACCCCUGGAAGCCUCCCUGGGAGCCAUAAUCAUGACAUUCCACAAGCAUGCUGGCAGUGGAGAUGCCAAGACCCUCAGCAAGAAAGCUAACCAACCUCAUCAAGGCAGAGCUCUCCAUCAUCGCUGUGAAGGGUGGUCCUGAAGGGGAUGACCUGAUGACGAUGCUGGACCAGGACGGCGACGGCGCUCUGAACUUCAUGGAGUACUUUACCCUGAUUGUAUCCCUUGCCUGCAUGUGCAACUGCGUCUUGGAAGGGAAAAUGUGUUUGCAUUUCGUGAAAAAACCUGCCUGCCUCCAUCUGCUUUCUACAGUGUAUUGCAUUAGGCCUACAUGUCACACUAAUGUCUCAUAUCUCAUUGGGUAAAUGGGUAAAUGCCCUCCUCCCUGUGUCCACACGCAUGCACGCACGCCCGCACAGACACAAAGGGUUGAAUAACUCGGCAAUAAUUAUGAGACUGAUCAUCAAAUACAUGCACCCACAUGGAUUCAUUGUCAGAAAGUAGCUCAGUUGGUAGUGCAUGGCGCUUUCGACAACAGGAUAGUGGGUUUGAUUCCUGUGAUCACCCGUUGUAAAAUGUAGGCGCGCAUGACUAAAUCGCUUUGGAUAAAAGCCUCUGCUAUAAAUGGCGUAUAAUGUUAGAUUAUAUUAUUAUAUUAAGAUCUCAAGAAUGCUGCUAAACAUAGCAUAGCAUGUGAGAUAGUAAACAUUGUGUGUAGGCUAUGUGUAGGCCUAAGUAUUUACCGUGAUAUGUUUUAUCUUUGCUGCUAAUAAAUGGGCAAAAUCCCGAACCAAA